rnacentral:rRNA from 1 species
UGGGGAAUAUUGGGCAAUGGGCGCAAGCCUGACCCAGCGACGCCGCGUGAGGGAAGACAGCCUUCGGGUUGUAAACCUCUGUUGCAGGGGAAGAAGGAAGUGACGGUACCCUGCGAGGAAGCUCCGGCUAACUACGUGCCAGCAGCCGCGGUAAUACGUAGGGAGCGAGCGUUGUCCGGAAUUACUGGGCGUAAAGGGCGCGUAGGCGGCGCUUCAAGUCGUCUGUCAAAAGCCGAGGCUCAACCUCGGCGCGCAGACGAAACUGGAGAGCUUGAGAAGCAGAGAGGCAAACAGAAUUCCUGGUGUAGCGGUGAAAUGCGUAGAUAUCAGGAAGAAUACCAGUGGCGAAGGCGGUUUGCUGGCUGCAUACUGACGCUGAAGCGCGAAAGCCAGGGGAGCAAACGGGA